GACAGAGGGUGCAAACGUUGUUCGGAAUUACUGGGCGUAAAGCGCGUGUAGGCGGCUAAGUAAGUCGGGCGUGAAAUCCCACGGCUCAACCGUGGAAGUGCACUCGAAACUGCAUAGCUAGAGUCCUGGAGAGGAAGGUGGAAUGCUUGGUGUAGAGGUGAAAUUCGUAGAUAUCAAGCGGAACACCGGUGGCGAAGGCGGCCUUCUGGACAGUGACUGACACUGAGGCGCGACAGCGUGGGGAGCAAACAGG
rnacentral:rRNA from 1 species